rnacentral:tRNA from 1 species
GCUGAGUGGACUAAAGUAGCAGAUUGCUAAUCCGUUGUACGAGUUAUUCAUACCGAGGGUUCGAAUCCCUC